UCUUUUUUCUUUCUUUUGAUUUGCUUUUGGUUUCUUUUGAUUUGGUUUUGCACCCUCCUCUUUCUUUUUCUUUUUUUCUCUUUCUUUUUUUUGAUAAUGCCCCAGUUGGCUGUUCUGCUGAUUCUCGAGAUGCAGCUGAGUGAUCUUCUUUUCUUGCUCAAGAAGUCGGGAAAUCUCGUCAGGAAUCCCUUCAACAUCAUCUUCGUCCGCUUCGAAUACAAGGAAUUCAAAAUUGGGAGAUG
rnacentral:lncRNA from 1 species